rnacentral:misc_RNA from 1 species
AAGUCGUAACAAGGUCUCCGUAGGUGAACCUGCGGAGGGAUCAUUAUUGAAUUUUCCUAAAGAAAAAUUUUGUACGUUGCUUUCUCUUGAAAGAGAGAGAGAACAGUACAAGAUUUUUCCCAAACAAACGAUCACAACUACUAGCUGUGUGAAGCAAAAAGAAAAAGAAAAUUGAUUUGGAUGAGAAACAAACAAAAAAAAGUGUUUGCCUGAUAAUCAAGAUGAUUUGGAUUGCAGAAAGAAAUAUAACUUUCAACAACGGAUCUCUUGGCUCUCA